rnacentral:rRNA from 1 species
GAUGAACGCUGGCGGCGUGCUUAACACAUGCAAGUCGAACGGUGAACGAGGGAGCUUGCUCCCUCCGGAUCAGUGGCGAACGGGCGAGUAACACGUGAGCAAUCUGCCCUGGACUCUGGGAUAAGCGUUGGAAACGACGUCUAAUACCGGAUACGAGGCGUGGGGGCAUCCCCAACGCCUGGAAAGAACUUCGGUCCAGGAUGAGCGCGCGGCCUAUCAGGUAGUUGGUGAGGUAAUGGCUCACCAAGCCUACGACGGGUAGCCGGCCUGAGAGGGUGACCGGCCACACUGGGACUGAGACACGGCCCAGACUCCUACGGGAGGCAGCAGUGGGGAAUAUUGCACAAUGGGCGCAAGCCUGAUGCAGCAACGCCGCGUGAGGGACGACGGCCUUCGGGUUGUAAACCUCUUUUAGCAGGGAAGAAGCGAAAGUGACGGUACCUGCAGAAAAAGCACCGGCUAACUACGUGCCAGCCGCCGCAGUAAGAC